CCUGGGGAGUACGGUCGCAAGAUUAAAACUCAAAGGAAUUGACGGGGACCCGCACAAGCGGUGGAUGAUGUGGAUUAAUUCGAUGCAACGCGAAAAACCUUACCUACCCUUGACAUGGCUGGAAUCCUCGAGAGAUUGAGGAGUGCUCGAAAGAGAACCAGUACACAGGUGCUGCAUGGCUGUCGUCAGCUCGUGUCGUGAGAUGUUGGGUUAAGUCCCGCAACGAGCGCAACCCUUGUCAUUAGUUGCUACGAAAGGGCACUCUA
rnacentral:rRNA from 1 species